CAGCUGGCAGGUUGUCACCACACUUCUGAGGGCCCCAGGAGAGCCCCAGAGUUCCAGGGACCCAGUUGUGUGGCACUGCCCAGAUGCUACGAGAUGUCACACUUCAAGGAUUUUUAUGCACAGCAAAAUUCUACAUAUGGCAAAAGGCAAAGGAGGAACUCAUCUGCCAUCUCUGCUGAAGGCUGUCAACACCAGUAGAAGAGACCUUGUACAGCCCAUGUAGAAGAGACCUUGGUGCUCAAUACACAAGAUGAGUAAUGCUUACACUGAAAGCUGUUGAUAAGAAAGUAAAGGUAUUUAAGCAGUCAAGUGAGCAAACAAUCUGCAAGCUAUUGAAUAUCUUCUUGUCAGAAUAAAUGAUGGAGUAGUUCAAGGCUGAGAAACA
rnacentral:lncRNA from 1 species